rnacentral:misc_RNA from 1 species
GAUGGAGAACGUAGCGAAAUGCGAUAAGUAGUGUGAAUUGCAGAAUUCAGUGAAUCAUCGAAUCUUUGAACGCACAUUGCGCCCCUUGGUAUCCCGAGGGGCAUGCCUGUUCGAGCGUCAUUUCACCACUCAAGCCUGGCUUGGUGUUGGGCGACGUCCCCUUUGGGGACGCGCCUCGAAACGCUCGGCGGCGUGGCACCGGCUUUAAGCGUAGCAGAAUCUUUCGCUUUGGAAGUCGGGGCCCCGUCUGCCGGAAGACCUACUCGCAAGGUUGACCUCGGAUCAGGCAGGGAUACCCGCUGAACUUAAGCAUAUCAAUAAGCGGAGGA